GGAGAAGAGGAAGAGCAGCAACAUCACAGCAGUACAGGGUUAUUAUUGUCAUUAUUUAGCCAGGGAUGAUUUAUUGUAGAGUGUGACAGCGGAGCUGAAGGAGUCUGUUGGAGAAAGUGCUCCGCUGUCCCUGUAGCAGGUGGUGGAGGGGGUGGUCAGGAUUAUCCAAUAUGGAUAACAGUUUCUUCAGUGACAUCCCGUCCAACACUUUUUCCAAGCUGUCCUGUUUGCAGCCAAUGAUGGAGCCGGCGUUCUUAACAAGUUUGUUAAGUCUGUUGGUGUCACCGGCUCCAAUGCUGCUCCCCCAGCAGACCACGGCGAAGUACAAAGCACUGGCCACAACAGACUGAUAGAACAUCUCCAACAUCUUGCUGCACACAUGGAAAGAUCGAAGCUUCCUCAGGAAAAAGAGUCGACUCAUCCCCUUCCUGUAGACAGCGUUGAUGUUGGUCUUCCAGUUCAGUCUGUCGUCGAUGGAGACACCCAGGUACUUGUAGUCCUCGACCAUGGCCACCUCCUCUCCCAGAACCCUCAGCGGUAGCGGAGCCGUUGUCUUCCUCCCGAAGUCCACCACCAUCUCUCUGGUCUUGGCGAGAUGGUCACUGGUGACACAUAUAGCACGAUAUCGAGGCGUAGUCGGGGGGAGGAGGGUCUACAGUUUGGGGGGCUGCUGAUGGCAGAUGAUGUGGUCCUGAUGGCAUCUUCCGUCUGUGACCUCCAACUCUCACUGGAGCGGUUUGCAGCAGAGUGUGAAGCGGUCCGGAUGAUUAGCACCUCUAAAUCUGAGGCCAUGGUUCUCAGCAGGAAUGAAUUGCCUACUCCAGGUAGGGAAUGUGUCCUUACCCCAAGUGAAAUGAAGUACCUCGGGGUCUUAUGAGGGGAAGAUGGAGUGUUUGGCUGUAGAAUUGGAGCAGCGGGGGCAGGUUUCCUCAGGAGAGUGGCUGGCGUCUCCCUUAGGGAUAGGGUAAGAAGCUCAGCCAUUCGUGAGGAGCUCGGAAUAGAGCCACUGCUCCUUUGCAUUGAAAGGAGCCAGUUGAGGUGGUUUGGCCAUCUGGUAAGGAUGCCCCCUGAAUAGGUGUUCCAGGAUCGGCCAGCUGGGAAGAGGCCCCGGGAAAGACCCAGGACUAGGUGGAGAGAUUAUAUCUCUGCACUGGCCUGGGAACUGUGAUGGAAAAAUUGGUAUAACCCUUCAAAAUGUUUUAUUGAAUGAACAAGGUUAUACAUUGGAAAUGCUGGGAUGGUGUGGCCAUGAUGAAGAAUUGAGACGUCCCGGUUAGAGGAGUCUACGAAAUGGCGGCGACCGUACAAUCCACCCCGAGACCCCGCCAACAACGUCAUCCUCUCUGUCCGACGUGAGUUCUACGGUGGCGGAUUUCCAGAGUUCCACCUCGUCAUCAGCCAGCACACUUUGUCUCGAUUCCAGCAGCUGUAAAAACAACAAUGAAUCAGUACUGUGCGAUGCGUAUGGACACAACACAUCUAUCAAUGCACCUGAAAAAAGUCAGCAAAUAAAC
ensembl:lncRNA